rnacentral:rRNA from 1 species
AUGGCUCAGAUUGAACGCUGGCGGCAGGCCUAACACAUGCAAGUCGGACGGUAGCACAGAGAGCUUGCUCUUGGGUGACGAGUGGCGGACGGGUGAGUAAUGUCUGGGGAUCUGCCCGAUAGAGGGGGAUAACCACUGGAAACGGUGGCUAAUACCGCAUAACGUCGCAAGACCAAAGAGGGGGACCUUCGGGCCUCUCACUAUCGGAUGAACCCAGAUGGGAUUAGCUAGUAGGCGGGGUAAUGGCCCACCUAGGCGACGAUCCCUAGCUGGUCUGAGAGGAUGACCAGCCACACUGGAACUGAGACACGGUCCAGACUCCUACGGGAGGCAGCAGUGGGGAAUAUUGCACAAUGGGCGCAAGCCUGAUGCAGCCAUGCCGCGUGUAUGAAGAAGGCCUUCGGGUUGUAAAGUACUUUCAGCGGGGAGGAAGGCGAUGGGGUUAAUAACCUUAUCGAUUGACGUUACCCGCAGAAGAAGCACCGGCUAACUCCGUGCCAG